CCUACGGGGGGCAGCAGUGGGGGAUAUUGCACAAUGGGGGGAACCCUGAUGCAGCGACGCCGCGUGGGUGAAGAAGCGCCUCGGCGCGUAAAGCCCUGUCAGCAGGGAAGAAAAUGACGGUACCUGAAGAAGAAGCCCCGGCUAACUACGUGCCAGCAGCCGCGGUAAUACGUAGGGGGCAAGCGUUAUCCGGAUUUACUGGGUGUAAAGGGGGCGCAGACGGCGAUGCAAGCCAGGAGUGAAAGCCCGGGGCCCAACCCCGGGGCUGCUCUUGGAACUGCGUGGCUAGAGUGCAGGAGGGGCAG
rnacentral:rRNA from 1 species